rnacentral:rRNA from 1 species
GACGAACGCUGGCGGCGUGCUUAACACAUGCAAGUCGAACGAAGAGCGAUGGAAGCUUGCUUCCAUCAAUCUUAGUGGCGAACGGGUGAGUAACGCGUAAUCAACCUGCCCUUCAGAGGGGGACAACAGUUGGAAACGACUGCUAAUACCGCAUACGAUCUAAUCUCGGCAUCGAGGAUAGAUGAAAGGUGGCCUCUACAUGUAAGCUAUCACUGAAGGAGGGGAUUGCGUCUGAUUAGCUAGUUGGAGGGGUAACGUCCCAACAAGGCGAUGAUCAGUAGCCGGUCUGAGAGGAUGAGCGGCCAAAUUGGGACUGAGACACGGCCCAGACUCCUACGGGAGGCAGCAGUGGGGAAUCUUCCGCAAUGGACGAAAGUCUGACGGAGCAACGCCGCGUGAGUGAUGACGGCCUUCGGGUUGUAAAGCUCUGUUAAUCGGGACGGAAGGCCUUCUUGCGAAUAGUGAGAAGGAUUGACGGUACCGGAAUAGAAAGCCACGGCUAACUACGUG